rnacentral:lncRNA from 1 species
CGACUUGAAGGCCUCCUCGGCGGCGUCGAAGAGGGACUUCACCUGGUCCGGGUCCGAGAUGUCAGCCCGGACAGAGACGGCAGAGCCGGGGGAGGAGGAGUUAAUCUCCGCGGCAAUGGCGUCGGCCUGGGCGGAGGAGCCGGGGGAGGUGUAGUUGACGACGAGCUUGGCGCCGAGGGAGGCAAGGUGGAGGGCGAUGGUGCGGCCGAUCCCGCGGGAGGAGCCGGUGACGAUGGCCACCCGGUCUUUCAGAGGGAGCGGAGCCGCGGCGGCGGAGGCGGAGGCGGCGGAGGGGCCAGCGGCGGUCGCGGCCAUUGAUGGAGUUCCGAGGAAGCUGGAAGGACGCGGAGGAAGUGAAGGAUUACCGAUUCACUAGUAAAGCUGUCGCCUUUUCGAGCAAACGAACGAACAAGAAUUUAGGUGAGAAAAUGGAGGAUUUUUUCUUGGAGAGUGACGCAGGGAGUGAGGUCGCAGCGAGCUCUUCCGGUCAUGGCGGGGCCCUGACAUUUUUUAAGGGACAAAAUCGUAACACGAAGCACGAUGAUGCCCGCCAACAAACCCGUCGUUGGUUAAUCCUACGUAACAGUGGGGCCGACAGUGCAGAGACAACGCACACACGAUUACACCGACCACUCAAGAUGGGCGGUCCAGUCCCAUCAAAGAACUGGAAUCGGACUAGGGUGCUUUUGGGAGUAGCUCUCCAAGCCACUUUGGACGUCCGAAGCCCUUUGAACUAAAAUAUUGGUGUUUGGCAAACCUCUUGGCAAAGAUGAUUGAGGCAAAACAGGCUUUUGGAUGGCUAAAAUGGCUGCCUUGGGCAUUCAGCCUUUUCGGAUUGCUUGCUGAGGGGGCAAUAGACAACAAAUGUUCUUUCAUAAAUAUCCUCACUAACAUUUUAUUUUUCCAAUUUUGCCCUAGGGGCCAACGACCGGCUGGACGAAGGUCGACGUGAGGCCGGUGUGGUCGCGGCAACGUCGCCAGCCAAUGGCAUGACCUCGGCAACCCCCGCGAGUCACGUCGCUGCAACCUCUAGGUCAUGGCAAGGUCACGUAACCUCCGACGACUCAUAUCUGGGUCGUCGGAGGUCACGUGACCCAGAUCGGGGUCGCAACGACUCAGGCGACCCGGAUCUAGGUUGCGGCGACUCCAGCUAACCAAAUCUAGGUUGCCAUGAGGUCACACACGAUCUCCGACUGCUGGGUCGCCUGAGUCACCGACACCCGGCAACUUGGUAGCGUUGAAGAAAGGGACUUGGAGAGGUUGAGGGAGCAGAGGGUGUUCCCGCAGGCGAUGGCAACAACGAUGAGGGAGGCGUCGGUGAUGCAAGGGCAGAGGGAGAGGUCGAGGGAGGACCUUGCCACCUCGGAUCUAGGUCGUCGGAGGUCGAGGCGGCGUCACGCGACCUCACCACCCCAAACUCAGGGUCGCCGAAGGUCGCCCGACCCUAGGCGGCCUUUGCUAGUGGUCUUCGAAGGUCGCUCGACCCUGACCAUCCCUCCCCAGUCAUCUCUAGGGCUGCCGGAGUCAAAUGUCGGCCGCCGGCGACAAAUUUUGAUCGUCGAUGGUAGCCUAGCCUUGCUAGUCAAUUUUUUUUUUUUCUUUUGAUAAUUUUUUUUAUCACAAAAGUCCUUUGCAUUUUCCCAAACAUCAUUUUGUUCAAAACUACUUCACAAUGGACUUUUAAAUUGUAAUUUACCAAACACAAUUUGCAUUCUGAAAAGUCCUUCAACCUAAAGUCCUUUGCAUUUUCCAAUAGUUUUCCCCAAAAGUCCAUCCAAACACACCCUAGGAGGACCAACUCCAAUUUCUUGAAGCGGAGACUCAAUCAAUCAAUCCAGUAUGGUCAAAUGAAACUAGUCACUUGACAAAUUCACAUCCAGAAUUUCAGCAAAUCUUCAUUUGCAAAACCCGUCAUUGCUCUCGGACAACGAAGAAGGCAAGGAUUAAGAGGGAUGUGGAAGGACAAGACUAGAACGAUGCCAACCAUAAGCCAAAACAUUGAUCUACUUUCCAGUGACAAAAAUGAAGCAUUCACAUAUCGGAGUUAGGUAUGAUUCAUCGUCAUAUGACUAGAUUAUGAGAAAUGAGCUAUCUAAAAUUUAAGAAAAAAAUGGAGACAACAGAAAGUCAAUAAUCCAAAGACGAGAAAAAUUAACUAAUGACAACAAUGGCCGAAUAGCAAAAAACUUACAGGAAUGGGCUGUCUGAGACUAGGAGUCAAGCAAGAGCCAGGUCGUGGAAAGAGUGGAGUGAAAGAGCAAGGCUCAAGAGGCAAGAGGAAAAAGUGAAGAGUGUCGACAUCAAGCGAGGCAUGAGUGAGAGGGAAAGGCGAAGAAUUGGAGAAUGAGAGAUUAGAUUAAAUGUUUGCUGUUUUUUAAGAAAUUAAAAAAAAAAUUGAAAAAAUGUAUAUAGUCGGUUUGAUUCCCAUCUUGGAACUAGAAAUCAGACUGACUGAAUACCAGUUCCAAAAAUCAGAACUAGGAACUGGAUCAGCAUGCCCUGGAACAGCCCAAAACAGGUUGUCUCGAUCCAAACCAAGCGGUUCUGAUUUGAUUAGCCUGUCUUGCUCAUCCCUAAUUCCUUUCGUUAGUAAAAACUGAAACUUCUUCCACAUCAUUCAAUGGUCCGGCUUGUAAAACGAACAAAAUAAUGCCAUAGAAAAGGGAAUGAAUCGUAAUUAUGAAAUGCUAACUAAAUUUGUGAACAUAGUCCUUGCUAGGUGAAAAUCAAGCCAAUGCGGAAAUAAGCACAAAAGUAAUUUUAGUGCAUCAGGGAUUACUCACUAGUUCUUUCGCGACAAUGAUUUGCGUAUUGUACGAAUUAUGACGUGAACGUGUGUUGAGUGUCUGAAUUUUAUAUUCUUCCUUAUUUACUUGCCUGUUUUACAACUGCUCGCAUCCUAUAACUUUGAAAGAGAUUUGGUUUCUCCUGCAUUGGGUCUGUAGCUGAUUAACAUGCAAAACAGGCCACAUUUUGACCCAGAAAUUUACAGUUUCUAGCUUUACUUACAAUCGAUCGCCUUAUAGAAUUAGAUCUACUAUCCUUCCGGUUUAGAGCAAAUCUUGGGGUAAUCAAGACUCUAGUUUGUCCCUACCGCUAUUCCUUAAGGGUUGACAUGGUCGACCGGCCAUCUAUAUAUUGAGAAAAUGUAAGCAAGCAAUCUUGGUACUGCUCCAACCAUGUACAGUGCACCUCAAGUGAUUUUCUCAAAUGCAAUAGAAGAGGCGAAGACCAUACAUGAGAACCUGUUUACGGACCUGUUUACGGCCAUGUCAAUAUCCGGCCACCAAUUGACGUCCAUGUCAGCACCGGUCGGCCAAAAUUGGCCGGAUGGACUGAAUUGAUACCAAUGUAAAAAUGUUUAUGACUAAAUUGAUCCAAUUAAAAAGUUUAUGACUAAAUCGGUACCAAUACAAUAAAUUUAUGACUUUUUUAGUACUUUUCCCCCUUAUAAUCUCAUCACAUCUGAUUGAUUGAAUCUAUCAUAUUAACAUUAGAUUAAAAAACAUGCAAGUGUUACUCAUAAGUUGCUGUCUACCUUCUGCAGAAUCUUCAUUGCCGAAGAACCUAUACAGGUAAAAGGAUUCACCUGCGCAGAAUAUCUUUACCCUCAACUCUACCUGCGCUAGAGAUAUUGAUUCUAGUUACCGACAAACCGGGUUUAAUCAAUUCUACCACUGCCAGAGGAUUGGAGCUUAUGUUUCAGCCAUAUCUCAGACCAUGUCGAAGAACCGAUGGAUCAACGUCUCAAUCGGACAAAGAGAACACAGAAUUCUAGAGGCAAAGGUCACACAUUUCAGGCAAAAUACCUGGACAAGAAUGACGUAAUUAUAAGCUUGGAUCCACCAACCUACACAUAUCCACCAUUAGCUCUAAUCACCUGUCCAUUGACCCACUCCGCAGCAUCAUUGGCCAAGAACCCGACAAGAGGGGCGACAUCCUUGGUCUCGCCGAGCCGGCUAUGUGGGCACUCGUCGAUCACCUUUUUUAUCAUCUCCUCGGUCUUCCCAGCGAAGAACAUCUCAGUUGCGAUGGGACCGGGAGCAACGCAGUUGGCGGUGAUGCGGGUGCCCUUGAGCUCCUUGGCCAGGAUCUUGACCAUCGUCUCCACAGCUGCCUUCGAGGCGGUGUACGCCGCCAUGUUCGGCUUCAGCGCGCCAACCAGCGAUGAGGACAGCAUUAUGAUCCUGCCUCCGCCGCCCCGCUUCAGCCGGUUUGCAGCCUCUCUGCAGCACAAGAAUGCCCCUCUAGCAUUGACACUGAAAGACAUUAAAAAGAAUCAUCAGCUCUGAAAGUUCUUCUCGUAAUCAUUGUGAGAAUUCAUCACCAACAAAAUUUAACAAAGAGAACACAAUUCAAAGACCCGGGCUUCUCUCUGUCACCCUACUCUCUCAUCAGAACUAUAAGCAGAGAAAUUAAUUAGCUUCUAAAUGACAAGCAAGAACCGAUUCCACGCGAACCCCAUUGUUCUCAAGAGCCAUCACCUGAAGGUCUUGUCGAAGUCCUCGACGGAGGUGUUGGCCAGGGUGGGGUACUUGGAGUCGAGGACGGCGGCGGAGUUCACCAGGACGUAGAUCGGCGACUUGAAGGCCUCCUCGGCGGCGUCGAAGAGGGACUUCACCUGGUCCGGGUCCGAGACGUCGGCCCGGACCGAGACGGCGGAGGAGCCGCCGGGGGACGAGGAGUUGAUCUCCGCCGCGACGGCGAUGGCCUGGGCGGAGGAGCCGGGGGAGGUGUAGUUGACGACGACCUUGGCGCCGAGGGAGGCCAGGUGGAGGGCGAUGGCGCGGCCGAUCCCGCGGGAGGAGCCGGUGACGAUGGCCACCCGGUCUUUCAGAGGGAGGGCCAGCGCUGCGGCGGCGGAGGGGGCGGCAGCGGUC